rnacentral:rRNA from 1 species
AAAUCCAGUAAGACCCCUUAAAGACUAUGAGGUAGAUAGGGCAGAGGUGGAAGUGCAGUAAUGCAUGGAGCUGACUGUCACUAAUAGGUCGAGGGCUUAACCAAG